rnacentral:rRNA from 1 species
CUAAUACCGGAUACGUUCUUUUCUCGCAUGAGAGAAGAUGGAAAGACGGUUUACGCUGUCACUUAUAGAUGGGCCCGCGGCGCAUUAGCUAGUUGGUGAGGUAAUGGCUCACCAAGGCGACGAUGCGUAGCCGACCUGAGAGGGUGAUCGGCCACACUGGGACUGAGACACGGCCCAGACUCCUACGGGAGGCAGCAGUAGGGAAUCUUCCGCAAUGGACGAAAGUCUGACGGAGCAACGCCGCGUGAACGAAGAAGGCCUUCGGGUCGUAAAGUUCUGUUGUUAGGGAAGAACAAGUACCAGAGUAACUGCUGGUACCUUGACGGUACCUAACCAGAAAGCCACGGCUAACUACGUGCCAGCAGCCGCGGUAAUACGUAGGUGGCAAGCGUUGUCCGGAAUUAUUGGGCGUAAAGCGCGCGCAGGUGGUUCUUUAAGUCUGAUGUGAAAGCCCACGGCUCAACCGUGGAGGGUCAUUGGAAACUGGGGAACUUGAGUGCAGAAGAGGAAAGUGGAAUUCCAAGUGUAGCGGUGAAAUGCGUAGAGAUUUGGAGGAACACCAGUGGCGAAGGCGACUUUCUGGUCUGUAACUGACACUGAGGCGCGAA